UGGGCGUUAAGUUGCAGGGUAUAGACCCGAAACCCGGUGAUCUAGCCAUGGGCAGGUUGAAGGUUGGGUAACACUAACUGGAGGACCGAACCGACUAAUGUUGAAAAAUUAGCGGAUGACCUGUGGCUGGGGGUGAAAGGCCAAUCAAACCGGGAGAUAGCUGGUUCUCCCCGAAAGCUAUUUAGGUAGCGCCUCGUGAAUUCAUCUCCGGGGGUAGAGCACUGUUUCGGCUAGGGGGCCAUCCCGGCUUACCAACCCGAUGCAAACUGCGAAUACCGGAGAAUGUUAUCACGGGAGACACACGGCGGGUGCUAACGUCCGUCGUGAAGAGGGAAACAACCCAGACCGCCAGCUAAGGUCCCAAAGUCAUGGUUAAGUGGGAAACGAUGUGGGAAGGCCCAGACAGCCAGGAUGUUGGCUUAGAAGCAGCCAUCAUUUAAAGAAAGCGUAAUAGCUCACUGGUCGAGUCGGCCUGCGCGGAAGAUGUAACGGGGCUAAACCAUGCACCGAAGCUGCGGCAGCGAACGUAUCACCCAAGACAACUUUACGGAGUUGACGAUUGACGGAGCGAAGCGACGUCAAAGCGUUCAUUAAAGUCGAGUUGGCUUAGGGAUACGUUCGUUGGGUAGGGGAGCGUUCUGUAAGCCUGUGAAGGUGUGUCGUGAGGCAUGCUGGAGGUAUCAGAAGUGCGAAUGCUGACAUAAGUAACGAUAAAGCGGGUGAAAAGCCCGCUCGCCGGAAGACCAAGGGUUCCUGUCCAACGUUAAUCGGGGCAGGGUGAGUCGACCCCUAAGGCGAGGCCGAAAGGCGUAGUCGAUGGGAAACGGGUUAAUAUUCCCGUACUUGGUGUUACUGCGAAGGGGGGACGGAGAAGGCUAUGUUGGCCGGGCGACGGUUGUCCCGGUUUAAGCGUGUAGGUGUGUGUUCCAGGUAAAUCCGGUUCACUUUAACACUGAGGCGUGACGACGAGGCACUACGGUGCUGAAGCAACAAAUGCCCUGCUUCCAGGAAAAGCCUCUAAGCAUCAGGUAACACGAAAUCGUACCCCAAACCGACACAGGUGGUCAGGUAGAGAAUACCAAGGCGCUUGAGAGAACUCGGGUGAAGGAACUAGGCAAAAUGGUGCCGUAACUUCGGGAGAAGGCACGCUGACACGUAGGUGAAGUGAUUUACUCAUGGAGCUGAAGUCAGUCGAAGAUACCAGCUGGCUGCAACUGUUUAUUAAAAACACAGCACUGUGCAAACACGAAAGUGGACGUAUACGGUGUGACGCCUGCCCGGUGCCGGAAGGUUAAUUGAUGGGGUCAGCGUAAGCGAAGCUCCUGAUCGAAGCCCCGGUAAACGGCGGCCGUAACUAUAACGGUCCUAAGGUAGCGAAAUUCCUUGUCGGGUAAGUUCCGACCUGCACGAAUGGCGUAAUGAUGGCCAGGCUGUCUCCACCCGAGACUCAGUGAAAUUGAACUCGCUGUGAAGAUGCAGUGUACCCGCGGCAAGACGGAAAGACCCCGUGAACCUUUACUAUAGCUUGACACUGAACAUUGAGCCUUGAUGUGUAGGAUAGGUGGGAGGCUUUGAAGUGUGGACGCCAGUCUGCAUGGAGCCGACCUUGAAAUACCACCCUUUAAUGUUUGAUGUUCUAACGUGGACCCGUAAUCCGGGUUGCGGACAGUGUCUGGUGGGUAGUUUGACUGGGGCGGUCUCCUCCUAAAGAGUAACGGAGGAGCACGAAGGUUGGCUAAUCCUGGUCGGACAUCAGGAGGUUAGUGCAAUGGCAUAAGCCAGCUUGACUGCGAGCGUGACGGCGCGAGCAGGUGCGAAAGCAGGUCAUAGUGAUCCGGUGGUUCUGAAUGGAAGGGCCAUCGCUCAACGGAUAAAAGGUACUCCGGGGAUAACAGGCUGAUACCGCCCAAGAGUUCAUAUCGACGGCGGUGUUUGGCACCUCGAUGUCGGCUCAUCACAUCCUGGGGCUGAAGUAGGUCCCAAGGGUAUGGCUGUUCGCCAUUUAAAGUGGUACGCGAGCUGGGUUUAGAACGUCGUGAGACAGUUCGGUCCCUAUCUGCCGUGGGCGCUGGAGAACUGAGGGGGGCUGCUCCUAGUACGAGAGGACCGGAGUGGACGCAUCACUGGUGUUCGGGUUGUCAUGCCAAUGGCACUGCCCGGUAGCUAAAUGCGGAAGAGAUAAGUGCUGAAAGCAUCUAAGCACGAAACUUGCCCCGAGAUGAGUUCUCCCUGAGACUUAGAGUCUCCUGAAGGAACGUUGAAGACGACGACGUUGAUAGGCCGGGUGUGUAAGCGCAGCGAUGCGUUGAGCUAACCGGUACUAAUGAACCGUGAGGCUUAACCUUACA
rnacentral:rRNA from 1 species